AUUGAACGCUGGCGGCAGGCCUAACACAUGCAAGUCGAGCGGAUGAAGGGAGCUUGCUCCUGGAUUCAGCGGCGGACGGGUGAGUAAUGCCUAGGAAUCUGCCUGGUAGUGGGGGAUAACGUCCGGAAACGGGCGCUAAUACCGCAUACGUCCUGAGGGAGAAAGUGGGGGAUCUUCGGACCUCACGCUAUCAGAAGAGCCUAGGUCGGAUUAGCUAGUUGGUGGGGUAAAGGCCUACCAAGGCGACGAUCCGUAACUGGUCUGAGAGGAUGAUCAGUCACACGGGAACUGAGACACGGUCCAGACUCCUACGGGAGGCAGCAGUGGGGAAUAUUGGACAAUGGGCGAAAGCCUGAUCCAGCCAUGCCGCGUGUGUGAAGAAGGUCUUCGGAUUGUAAAGCACUUUAAGUUGGGAGGAAGGGCAGUAAGUUAAUACCUUGCUGUUUUGACGUUACCAACAGAAUAAGCACCGGCUAACUUCGUG
rnacentral:rRNA from 1 species